rnacentral:lncRNA from 1 species
CUCCACUGGUGCAGUCUCGUCGAGAUUCAUGGUCGGAGGGGGACUCGCUGGCGCUGGGGACGAUGCCGAUGAGCAGUGGGGAGUGCGAGAGGGUGUAGCUGCGAAGUUGGUCCCUGGGACUCCGAUUGUGGAGAGAUCUCUACCGGUCCGCGAAGACCCGUAACUCGCCGCCUCGCUGGGAUUUCGGGCAGCUGACCUAGCGACGUGCGAA